GAGAAAAGCCUCUAGAUAGAAAAUAGGUGCCCGUACCGCAAACCGACACAGGUAGUCAAGAUGAGAAUUCUAAGGUGAGCGAGCGAACUCUCGUUAAGGAACUCGGCAAAAUGACCCCGUAACUUCGGGAGAAGGGGUGCUCUUUAGGGUUAACGCCCAGAAGAGCCGCAGUGAAUAGGCCCAAGCGACUGUUUAUCAAAAACACAGGUCUCUGCUAAACCGUAAGGUGAUGUAUAGGGGCUGACGCCUGCCCGGUGCUGGAAGGUUAAGAGGAGUGGUUAGCUUCUGCGAAGCUACGAAUCGAAGCCCCAGUAAACGGCGGCCGUAACUAUAACGGUCCUAAGGUAGCGAAAUUCCUUGUCGGGUAAGUUCCGACCCGCACGAAAGGCGUAACGAUUUGGGCACUGUCUCAACGAGAGACUCGGUGAAAUCAUAGUACCUGUGAAGAUGCAGGUUACCCGCGACAGGACGGAAAGACCCCGUGGAGCUUUACUGUAGCCUGAUAUUGAAAUUCGGCACAGCUUGUACAGGAUAGGUAGGAGCCUUUGAAACGUGAGCGCUAGCUUACGUGGAGGCGCUGGUGGGAUACUACCCUAGCUGUGUUGGCUUUCUAACCCGCACCACUUA
rnacentral:rRNA from 1 species